CCAGAGAGGGAGGAUUUGGACACUAGUGGGCAGUGGUAACUUCUCUACACGUCGCAGAAGGAAAUUUUCAAAAUGGAAUGAACUCCGUUAAGGGGAUUCUUGAAGAAGCACGAUCCACAUUGUAAAAUGCACAUUCAAAGUCUGGAGGUAAACAUACCGGUGAGCCCUUGGGGCCAGGAAGACCCGGACGGCCAUCUCUUCCAGGAGAACCCGCUCUCCCUGGCAUGCCGGGCUGUCCUGGAAAGCCUGGGUCUCCUUUGUCACCUUUGAGCCGCAGGUCGAAAUAAAUCUCACCAGGCUCCCCC